rnacentral:rRNA from 1 species
AGAGCGAACGCUGGCGGCAGGCCUAACACAUGCAAGUCGAACGGACCCUUCGGGGUUAGUGGCGGACGGGUGAGUAACACGUGGGAACGUGCCUUUUGGUUCGGAAUAGCUCCUGGAAACGGGUGGUAAUGCCGAAUGUGCCCUUCGGGGGAAAGAUUUAUCGCCAUUAGAGCGGCCCGCGUCUGAUUAGCUAGUUGGUGAGGUAAUGGCUCACCACGGCGACGAUCAGUAGCUGGUCUGAGAGGAUGACCAGCCACAUUGGGACUGAGACACGGCCCAAACUCCUACGGGAGGCAGCAGUGGGGAAUCUUGCGCAAUGGGCGAAAGCCUGACGCAGCCAUGCCGCGUGAAUGAUGAAGGUCUUAGGAUUGUAAAAUUCUUUCACCGGGGACGAUAAUGACGGUACCCGGAGAAGAAGCCCCGGCUAACUUCGUGCCAGCAGCCGC